rnacentral:rRNA from 1 species
GAGCUUGCUCUUCUAGAGACCGGCGCACGGGUGCGUAACGCGUAUGCAACCUACCUUUAUCUGGGGGAUAGCCCGGAGAAAUCCGGAUUAAUACCGCAUAAAAUCACAGUACUGCAUAGUACAAUGAUCAAACAUUUAUGGGAUGAAGAUGGGCAUGCGUGUCAUUAGCUAGUUGGCGGGGUAACGGCCCACCAAGGCGACGAUGACUAGGGGAUCUGAGAGGAUGGCCCCCCACACUGGUACUGAGACACGGACCAGACUCCUACGGGAGGCAGCAGUAAGGAAUAUUGGUCAAUGGAGGCAACUCUGAACCAGCCAUGCCGCGUGCAGGAAGACUGCCCUAUGGGUUGUAAACUGCUUUUACUCGGGAAUAAACCUAGAUACGUGUAUUUAGCUGAAUGUACCGAGGGAAUAAGGAUCGGCUAACUCCGUGCCAGCAGCCGCGGUAAUACGGAGGAUCCAAGCGUUAUCCGGAUUUAUUGGGUUUAAAGGGUGCGUAGGCGGCCUGUUAAGUCAGGGGUGAAAGACGGUAGCUCAACUAUCGCAGUGCCCUUGAUACUGAUGGGCUUGAAUGGACUAGAGGUAGGCGGAAUGAGACAAGUAGCGGUGAAAUGCAUAGAUAUGUCUCAGAACACCGAUUGCGAAGGCAGCUUACUAUGGUCUUAUUGACGCUGAGGCACGAAAGCGUGGGGAUCAAACAGGAUUAGAUACCCUGGUAGUCCACGCCCUAAACGAUGAACACUCGCUGUUGGCGAUACACAGUCAGCGGCUAAGCGAAAGCGUUAAGUGUUCCACCUGGGGAGUACGCCCGCAAGGGUGAAACUCAAAGGAAUUGACGGGGGCCCGCACAAGCGGAGGAGCAUGUGGUUUAAUUCGAUGAUACGCGAGGAACCUUACCCGGGCUUGAAAGUUAGUGAAUGAUCUAGAGAUAGAUCAGUGAGCAAUCACACGAAACUAGGUGCUGCAUGGCUGUCGUCAGCUCGUGCCGUGAGGUGUUGGGUUAAGUCCCGCAACGAGC